UACGUAGGAGACAAGCGUUGUCCGGAUUUACUGGGCGUAAAGAGCGCGCAGGCGGCCGAUCAAGUCGAGUGUGAAAGCCCCCGGCUCAACUGGGGAGGGUCAUUCGAUACUGAUCGACUCGAAGGCAGGAGAGGGUAGUGGAAUUCCCGGUGUAGUGGUGAAAUGCGUAGAUAUCGGGAGGAACACCAGUGGCGAAGGCGACUACCUGGCCUGUUCUUGACGCUGAGGCGCGAAAGCUAGGGGAGCAAACGGG
rnacentral:rRNA from 1 species